CAGUAGCCGCGGUAAUACAGAGGGUGCGAGCGUUAAUCGGAUUUACUGGGCGUAAAGCGUGCGUAGGCGGCUUCUUAAGUCGGAUGUGAAAUCCCUGAGCUUAACUUAGGAAUUGCAUUCGAUACUGGGAAGCUAGAGUAUGGGAGAGGAUGGUAGAAUUCCAGGUGUAGCGGUGAAAUGCGUAGAGAUCUGGAGGAAUACCGAUGGCGAAGGCAGCCAUCUGGCCUAAUACUGACGCUGAGGUACGAAAGCGUGGGGAGCAAACAGGAUUAGAUACCCGUGUAGUCCCUGUCUCUUAUAC
rnacentral:rRNA from 1 species